AACGCUAGCUACAGGCUUGACACAUGCAAGUCGAGGGGCAGCAUUUUAGUUUGCUUGCAAACUAAAGAUGGCGACCGGCGCACGGGUGAGUAACACGUAUCCAACCUGCCGAUAACUCGGGGAUAGCCUUUCGAAAGAAAGAUUAAUAUCCGAUAGUAUAUUAAAACCGCAUGGUUUUACUAUUAAAGAAUUUCGGUUAUCGAUGGGGAUGCGUUCCAUUAGUUUGUUGGCGGGGUAACGGCCCACCAAGACUACGAUGGAUAGGGGUUCUGAGAGGAAGGUCCCCCACAUUGGAACUGAGACACGGUCCAAACUCCUACGGGAGGCAGCAGUGAGGAAUAUUGGUCAAUGGACGAGAGUCUGAACCAGCCAAGUAGCGUGAAGGAUGACUGCCCUAUGGGUUGUAAACUUCUUUUAUAUGGGAAUAAAGUAUUCCACGUGUGGGAUUUUGUAUGUACCAUAUGAAUAAGGAUCGGCUAACUCCGUGCCAGCAGCCGCGGUAAUACGGAGGAUCCGAGCGUUAUCCGGAUUUAUUGGGUUUAAAGGGAGCGUAGGUGGAUUGUUAAGUCAGUUGUGAAAGUUUGCGGCUCAACCGUAAAAUUGCAGUUGAAACUGGCAGUCUUGAGUACAGUAGAGGUGGGCGGAAUUCGUGGUGUAGCGGUGAAAUGCUUAGAUAUCACGAAGAACUCCGAUUG
rnacentral:rRNA from 1 species